GGGCGUUUAGCGCAGUGGUAGCGCGCAUGCUUUGCACGUGUAUUAAGCACAACUGCCCCAAGCAGUAGAACUUGUAUGAGGCCCAGGGUUCAAUCCCCUGAACGUCCA